rnacentral:rRNA from 1 species
UGGGGAAUUUUGGACAAUGGGGGAAACCCUGAUCCAGCCAUCCCGCGUGUGCGAUGAAGGCCUUCGGGUUGUAAAGCACUUUUGGCAGGAAAGAAACGUCAUGGGUUAAUACCCCGUGAAACUGACGGUACCUGCAGAAUAAGCACCGGCUAACUACGUGCCAGCAGCCGCGGUAAUACGUAGGGUGCAAGCGUUAAUCGGAAUUACUGGGCGUAAAGCGUGCGCAGGCGGUUCGGAAAGAAAGAUGUGAAAUCCCAGAGCUCAACUUUGGAACUGCAUUUUUAACUACUGGGCUAGAGUGUGUCAGAGGGAGGUGGAAUUCCGCGUGUAGCAGUGAAAUGCGGAGAUAUGCGGAGGAACACCGAUGGCGAAGGCAGCCUCCUGGGAUAACACUGACGCUCAUGCACGAAAGCGUGGGGAGCAAACAGG